rnacentral:tRNA from 1 species
GGAUUGUGGCUCAGUGGCAGAGCGCUUGCCUAGCACAUACGAGGCCUUGGGUUCGAUCCUCAGUACCA